UUGUUUUGGGCAGCACAUAUACUGACAUCGGAUGCUGUCCAGGGAAGGUUAGCAUGGUCCCUGCACAAGGAUGACACACAGAUGUGUGAAGCAGCCCAUAUAUUA
ensembl:snRNA U6 U6 spliceosomal RNA